rnacentral:tRNA from 1 species
UCCCUGGUGGCUCAGAGGGUAAAGCGUCUGCCUGCGAUGCAGGAGACCCAGGUUUGAUCCCUGGGUGGGGAA